rnacentral:rRNA from 1 species
AGAGCUCAAAUUUGAAAGCUGGCGUCCUACGGGCGUCCGCAUUGUAAUCUAUAGAGGCGUUUUCUGUGCUGGACCGUGUCCAAGUCCCUUGGAACAGGGUAUCAAAGAGGGUGACAAUCCCGUACUUGACACGACAACCAGUGCUCUGUGAUACGUCUUCUACGAGUCGAGUUGUUUGGGAAUGCAGCUCAAAAUGGGUGGUGAAUUCCAUCUAAAGCUAAAUAUUGGCGAGAGACCGAUAGCGAACAAGUACCGUGAGGGAAAGAUGAAAAGCACUUUGGAAAGAGAGUUAAACAGUAUGUGAAAUUGUUGAAAGGGAAACGAUGGAGGUCAGUCGUGUCUGUGGGAUUCAGCCGUCUCUGGCGGUGUACUUCCCACAGACGGGUCAACAUCAGUUUUGGCUGGCGGAUAAAGGCAGGAGGAAGGUGGCACCCCCGGGUGUGUUAUAGCCUCUUGUUGCAUACGCUGGCUGAGACUGAGGAAUGCAGCUCGCCUUUAUGGCCGGGGUCGCCC